rnacentral:misc_RNA from 1 species
GAUGAAGAACCCAGUGAAAUGCGAUAAGUAAUGUGAAUUGCAGAAUUCAGUGAAUCAUCGAAUCUUUGAACGCACAUUGCGCCCCCUGGUAUUCCGGGGGGCAUGCCUGUUCGAGCGUCAUUUCACCACUCAAGCCUCGCUUGGUAUUGGGCAACGCGGUCCGCCGCGUGCCUCAAAUCGUCCGGCUGGGUCUUCUGUCCCCUAAGCGUUGUGGAAACUAUUCGCUAAAGGGUGUUCGGGAGGCUACGCCGUAAAACAACCCCAUUUCUAAGGUUGACCUCGGAUCAGGUAGGGAUACCCGCUGAACUUAAGCAUAUCAAUAAGCGGAGGA